rnacentral:rRNA from 1 species
AGUAAUCAUAGGUCAGCAUACUAUGGUGAAUACGUUCCCGGGCCUUGUACACACCGCCCGUCACACCAUGAGAGUUGAGAAUACCCGAAGUCCAUGUCAAAGUGGCCGAAGGUAGGCUUGAUGAUUGGGGUGAAGUCGUAACAAGGUAAC